UACGUAGGGUGCGAGCGUUAAUCGGAAUUACUGGGCGUAAAGCGUGCGCAGGCGGUUUUGUAAGCCAGAUGUGAAAUCCCCGGGCUCAACCUGGGAAUGGCAUUUGGGACUGCAAGGCUGGAGUGCGGCAGAGGAGACUGGAAUUCCUGGUGUAGCAGUGAAAUGCGUAGAUAUCUGGAGGAACACCGGUGGCGAAGGCGGCGUCCUGGACCAACACUGACACUGAUGAGCGAAAGCCAGGGGAGCAAACGGG
rnacentral:rRNA from 1 species